rnacentral:rRNA from 1 species
GAUGAACGCUGGCGGCGUGCCUAAUACAUGCAAGUCGAGCGAACAGACGAGGAGCUUGCUCCUCUGACGUUAGCGGCGGACGGGUGAGUAACACGUGGAUAACCUACCUAUAAGACUGGGAUAACUUCGGGAAACCGGAGCUAAUACCGGAUAAUAUAUUGAACCGCAUGGUUCAAUAGUGAAAGACGGUUUUGCUGUCACUUAUAGAUGGAUCCGCGCCGCAUUAGCUAGUUGGUAAGGUAACGGCUUACCAAGGCAACGAUGCGUAGCCGGCCUGAGAGGGGGAUCGGCCACACUGGAACUGAGACACGGUCCAGACUCCUACGGGAGGCAGCAGUAGGGAAUCUUCCGCAAUGGGCGAAAGCCUGACGGAGCAACGCCGCGUGAGUGAUGAAGGUCUUCGGAUCGUAAAACUCUGUUAUUAGGGAAGAACAAAUGUGUAAGUAACUAUGCACGUCUUGACGGUACCUAAUCAGAAAGCCACGGCUAACUACGUG